CCGAAAAGAGUAGUUAUACUCUUAAACUCUUAUGAAACAAAAUAAACGCAAAACAUUUACAGGCACGGUAUAUAGUCGUAUACAUAUAUACAUACACAACUUUUAUUAUAGUUAUCAAAAGCAGAGCUUAACAAAAAAAUAUUUCAGUCGAGCAUUUCUAGUGAAAAAUAUGCGUUCGUUUUGUGCAGCAACUUUUAUAGCAGUAAUAAUCUUGCAAAGCCACGUCACUUAUGCAAGAACGCGUUACGAAGUAUUCGACCUACACGAUUGUCAACAAAAUGCAGCUGUAGAAACUGAGUAUACUGCACAACCGAUCACUGCUGAUUUCACCUGUGCCGCUUUUUGUAAGCUUCGCGAAUUUCCACACGGCGGUUGCGACUGUGUGACAAAGAAAUGUGUUUGUGCAAAUAUGAAUUUGAAUUUCUGCGAUUUUCAGCUGAUAAGAUUGUUUAUCUGAAAGGAUAUUAUAAAAUUGCACCAAACAAAUAAAUUUCAAAUCAAAAAUAAUUAAUAAACCAACUGCACAUAAAGAACAUAUUUUGGGCCUUUAAAGUUUGCAAUUAUAUUUGUUGUAAAUUUCAAUAAAUUCAUUUCCUUUAAAUUUACAGUACAUAUUGCGAAAUUUCUAUUAAUAUAUGCAUAUGUAUAAACCAAUGUAAUAUAAUCAAUACUUUUUCAAAUGGAAUUUGCUUAGUAAGUAAACAACUUAUUCACUAACUGCCUUUGUGAAUCCAAUUUGCACAAAAAAAAAAACAAAAUAAGAAUCA